UCGCUUCGGCAGCACAUGCACUAAGACUGGAAGGAAACAGAGAAACGAGCAAGACCCUCACUCAAGGACGACGCCCUUCAUGACGCACUCCCUAU
rnacentral:snRNA from 1 species